UGGCCAGACUCCUACGGGAGGCAGCAGUGGGGAAUAUUGGGCAAUGGGCGCAAGCCUGACCCAGCAACGCCGCAUGAAGGAAGAAGGCUUUCGGGUUGUAAACUUCUUUUAAGAGGGAAGAGCAGAAGACGGUACCUCUUGAAUAAGCCACGGCUAACUACGUGCCAGCAGCCGCGGUAAUACGUAGGUGGCGAGCGUUAUCCGGAAUGAUUGGGCGUAAAGGGUGCGCAGGCGGUCCUGCAAGUCUGGAGUGAAACGCAUGAGCUCAACUCAUGCAUGGCUUUGGAAACUGGAGGACUGGAGAGCAGGAGAGGGCGGUGGAACUCCAUGUGUAGCGGUAAAAUGCGUAGAUAUAUGGAAGAACACCAGUGGCGAAGGCGGCCGCCUGGCCUGUUGCUGACGCUGAGGCACGAAAGCGUGGGGAGCAAAUAGGAUUAGAUACCCCGGUA
rnacentral:rRNA from 1 species